GACGAACGCUGGCGGCGUGCUUAACACAUGCAAGUCGAACGGAAAAGCCCUGCUUGCAGGGUACUCGAGUGGCGAACGGGUGAGUAACACGUGGGUGAUCUGCCCUGCACUUCGGGAUAAGCUUGGGAAACUGGGUCUAAUACCGGAUAGAACCGCACUUUCGGGUGUGUGGUGGAAAGUUUUUUCGGUGUAGGAUGGGCUCGCGGCCUAUCAGCUUGUUGUUGGGGUAAUGGCCUGCCAAGGCGGCGAGGGGUAGCCGGCCUGUGAGGGUGUACGGCAACAUCGGGAGCGAGAAACUACCCAGACUCCUACGUGACGCUAGAGUGGGGAAGAAUGAGCGAUAGGGGAAACCCUGAUGCAUGCACGCCACCUGAGGGACGAAGGCCAGCAUGUUGAAAGCUCUGUUCGCCAGGGACGAAGCUCUUUGCGACGGUAGUUAGAUAAGAAGCACCGGCUAACUAGCUA
rnacentral:rRNA from 1 species